rnacentral:rRNA from 1 species
GAAUAAGAGGUCCCGCCUGCCCUGUGACUAUAUGUUUAACGGCCGCGGUAUUUUGACCGUGCGAAGGUAGCGCAAUCACUUGUCUUUUAAAUGGAGACCUGUAUGAAAGGCAUCACGAGGGCUUAGCUGUCUCCCCUUUAAAGUCAAUGAAAUUGAUCUCCCCGUGCAGAAGCGGGGAUAUGCUCGUAAGACGAGAAGACCCUAUGGAGCUUAAGAUAAAAGGCGAGUCAUGUCAAACACCCCUUCAAAGGAAGUUGAACGAAAUGAUACCCGCUGGAAUGUCUUCGGUUGGGGCGACCGCGGGGAAAGACAAAACCCCCACAUGGACCAGGGCCACUAUAGCCCUAAAACCUAGACCCACAGGUCAAGUCAACAGUAAAUCUGACUACCAAAGAGCCGGCAAUGCCGAUCAACGGACCGAGUUACCCUAGGGAUAACAGCGCAAUCCCCUCCCAGAGCCCUUAUCGACGAGGGGGUUUACGACCUCGAUGUUGGAUCAGGACAUCCUAAUGGUGCAGCCGCUAUUAAGGGUUCGUUUGUUCAACGAUUAAAGUCCUACGCGAUC